GACGAACGCUGGCGGCGUGCCUAAUACAUGCAAGUCGAGCGAGCGGAACUAACAGAUUUUACUUCGGUAAUGACGUUAGGAAAGCGAGCGGCGGAUGGGUGAGUAACACGUGGGGAACCUGCCCCAUAGUCUGGGAUACCACUUGGAAACAGGUGCUAAUACCGGAUAAGAAGCAGAUCGCAUGAUCAGCUUUUAAAAGGCGGCGUAAGCUGUCGCUAUGGGAUGGCCCCGCGGUGCAUUAGCUAGUUGGUAAGGUAAAGGCUUACCAAGGCGAUGAUGCAUAGCCGAGUUGAGAGACUGAUCGGCCACAUUGGGACUGAGACACGGCCCAAACUCCUACGGGAGCAGCAGUAGGGAUCUUCGGCAUGG
rnacentral:rRNA from 1 species